rnacentral:misc_RNA from 1 species
GAUGAAGAACGCAGCGAAAUGCGAUAAGUAAUGUGAAUUGCAGAAUUCAGUGAAUCAUCGAAUCUUUGAACGCACAUUGCGCCCGCCAGUAUUCUGGCGGGCAUGCCUGUCCGAGCGUCAUUUCAACCAUCAAGCCCCGGGCUUGUGUUGGGGACCUGCGUCCGACGCAGGCCCUGAAAACCAGUGGCGGGCUCGCUGUCCACACCGAGCGUAGUAACUAACCUCGCUAUGGAGUGGCGCAGGCGCCUGCCGUAAAACCCCCAAUUUUUACAAGGUUGACCUCGGAUCAGGUAGGAAUACCCGCUGAACUUAAGCAUAUCAAUAAGCGGAGGA